CACAAGCGGUGGAGCAUGUGGUUUAAUUCGAUGCAACGCGAAGAACCUUACCUGGUCUUGACAUCCACAGAACUUUCCAGAGAUGGAUUGGUGCCUUCGGGAACUGUG
rnacentral:rRNA from 1 species